AAAUUGCGAAACGGGUGCUUAAUUGAGCUGAGAGGAUAACCGUCAUAACCCGAACAUGGUAAUGCAUGCGUGGGGAUUUGCCAACAAAAUAAA
rfam:Rhizoclosmatium globosum strain JEL800 BCR33scaffold_101, whole genome shotgun sequence.